AUGGCAUCCGCAGCCACCAUUGCUUGCCUGCUUCUCUUUGCUCCCCUGCUCACCGCCGCCGCGACCACCAUUCAGCAGUCCAACGGCAGUGCACUCGCGGCCGCGGCCGCGAACUACCAGAUCGUGCGAGCCGACAUGGCACCCGCGUCGCCGUCCUGGGUCAUCCUCGGUAGCGUGCCGCGGGUGGCGGCCGCCGACGCCGACCUCCCUCAGGGCGCCGACCUCUCCCUCGCGCUGCCGCCGCCCCCGCGCGUCGCGCUCCUCACCAUCCCCUCGCGCAUCUUCCCGGGCCGAACCACCUCCGACAACUUCCCGUCCGUCCUCGCCGCUGACCCCUCCGGCCUCCUCCUCCUCCACGCCAACCAGGGCCGCGCCACGGGCCCCACCGUCAUCAACACCCCCAGCCUUCGCGAGUUCAGCUGGCGCCCGUUCGUCGCCGGCUACUUCGUCCUCGAUGCCACCACCGCCUCCGCCCGCCCGCUCCCGAAACCGGAGCUCAUCAUGAACCGGGAUCACCUCGGCCUCAUCUCCUCCCCCGGGGGCGGUGGCCACUACAUUGUCGCUCAGCUCCAGCAGAUCCUCGGCCAUGGCAAAGCCAUCCUCCUGCGCUUCUCGUCGGAAGCCGGGGAAUGGGUAACCAAGUUCAUCGGCUACCCGCUCCCAGCCCGCCAGUUCGCCCCCAACGGCGUGGUCUCGCACGCCGGGAGGCUCUGGUGGGUCGACCUCUACUGGUGCCUCCUCACAUGCGACCCAUUCGCGGACGAGCCGGUGCUGACAGCCGUCCCUCUCCCGGAGGGCAAGCAGCUCAAGUUCAUGGAAGCUUGGGGAGUGCUCGACAAGUACCGUUGCGUGGGUGUCAGCAGCGGGAAGCUGCGGUUCGCGGACAUGUACUCCAGGAACAGCGCUGCACAGGUCAGCGUCUGGACGCUCGCCGAUCCGGACACCACGGAGUGGAAGCUGGAGUACGAGGCCACGUUUGCGGAGAACUGGGACGACGCGAGCUACAAGGCGACUGGUCUGCCCAGGAAGAUCCCCGUGCUUGCGCUCAUCCACCCCACCAACCCGGACGUGGUCUACUUCUUCCUCGACGAGCAUCUGCUCGGCGUCGACGUGCGUGCUUGCAAGGUUGUGGAGUGUGAGGUCUACGAGCUGGUGGCGCCGCCUAGCGAACACGUCGCCACCAGUUUCAUUCACGCUUGGCAGCUGCCACGGGCUCUCAGCUCAGGUUCAGCAAAGAAGACCGAGGGUGUCGUGAAUGACGAGCUGUGA
rnacentral:rRNA from 1 species